UAUGGAUGACUUUCAUGACUUCAUUGAGUCAGUUAAACCAGCUUCAGAGGAUGCUGGGAUUCCUUCCACUAAUUAUGAUAAAUGUCUAUUGUGAAUUGAGCAACUGGGGAAGGAUUGUGAAGGGUCUCCUGAAGAAGAUCUUCAUCUGAAGCCUACAACUAAAGUGAAAGAUUCUGUUCCGGAUUAUGCAGAAGGAAUGAAGGACGUACAAAAAUCC